AUUGAUUUCAAAUCUAUUCCAUGGAUAUACAUACACGGUAUGCUCUCUCGUCAGCCCUUAUUGGUGGUGUAAUGGGUGCAUAUGCUCAACUAUGGGAGUGUACAUAAGAAGAAGACGAUUAACAUUGGUGUCGAUAAGAUUAGAUUGAGUUUGAUUGAGCUAUAUUACCAUGGCAGACGAUUUGACUCGGCAGUCGAGCAGCCGAGGUAGUAGCUGGCGGUCGACCAGUGUGAGGGAAAUGUGGAACGCGAUGGACGUGUUCCAGCGGAGCGGGUGGCAAUCGAUGCAUGAGAAGGACGAGGAGGAGCUGCGGUGGGCGGCCAUAGAGCGGUUGCCGACUUAUGAUAGGAUGAGGAGAGGGAUGUUGACUCAGGUGACGAGUAAUGGGAGGUUGAUGCUUGACGAGGUUGAUGUUACUAAGCUUGGUAGCCAGAACAAGAAGCAGUUGAUGGAGAGUAUUUUGAAAGUUUUUGAGGAUGAUAAUGAGAAGUUAUUGGAGACUCAGGGCCAGAAAUGACAGGGUUGGGAUUGAGAUUCCUAAGGUUGAAGUUAGAUUCCAGAAUUUGUCGAUUGAGGGAGAUGCAUAUGUAGGAACUAGAGCUCUUCCAACUCUGUUGAAUUCCAGUCUUAACAUGAUUG